rnacentral:rRNA from 2 species
UACGUGCCAGCAGCCGCGGUAAUACGUAGGUGGCAAGCGUUAUCCGGAUUUAUUGGGCGUAAAGCGAGCGCAGGCGGUUUUUUAAGUCUGAUGUGAAAGCCCUCGGCUUAACCGAGGAAGUGCAUCGGAAACUGGGAAACUUGAGUGCAGAAGAGGACAGUGGAACUCCAUGUGUAGCGGUGAAAUGCGUAGAUAUAUGGAAGAACACCAGUGGCGAAGGCGGCUGUCUGGUCUGUAACUGACGCUGAGGCUCGAAAGCAUGGGUAGCGAACAGGAUUAGAUACCCUGGUAGUCCAUGCCGUAAACGAUGAAUGCUAGGUGUUGGAGGGUUUCCGCCCUUCAGUGCCGCAGCUAACGCAUUAAGCAUUCCGCCUGGGGAGUACGACCGCAAGGUUGAAACUCAAAGGAAUUGACGGGGGCCCGCACAAGCGGUGGAGCAUGUGGUUUAAUUCGAAGCAACGCGAAGAACCUUACCAGGUCUUGACAUCUUUUGAUCACCUGAGAGAUCAGGUUUCCCCUUCGGGGGCAAAAUGACAGGUGGUGCAUGGUUGUCGUCAGCUCGUGUCGUGAGAUGUUGGGUUAAGUCCCGCAACGAGCGCAACCCUUAUGACUAGUUGCCAGCAUUUAGUUGGGCACUCUAGUAAGACUGCCGGUGACAAACCGGAGGAAGGUGGGGAUGACGUCAAAUCAUCAUGCCCCUUAUGACCUGGGCUACACACGUGCUACAAUGGAUGGUACAACGAGUUGCGAGACCGCGAGGUCAAGCUAAUCUCUUAAAGCCAUUCUCAGUUCGGACUGUAGGCUGCAACUCGCCUACACGAAGUCGGAAUCGCUAGUAAUCGCGGAUCAGCACGCCGCGGUGAAUACGUUCCCGGGCCUUGUACACACCGCCCGUCACACCAUGAGAGUUUGUAACACCCGAAGCCGGUGGCGUAA